CCUACGGGAGGCAGCAGUGAGGAAUAUUGGUCAAUGGGCGGAAGCCUGAACCAGCCAAGUAGCGUGCAGGAUGACGGCCCUACGGGUUGUAAACUGCUUUUAUACGGGAAUAACGCGCCUUACGUGUAGCGCUUUUCAUGUACCGUAUGAAUAAGGACCGGCUAAUUCCGUGCCAGCCGCCGCGGUAAUACGGAAGGUCCGGGCGUUAUCCGGAUUUAUUGGGGUUAAAGGGAGCGUAGGCCGCAUGUCAAGCGUGCUGUGAAAUGUCCGGGCUCAGCCCGGGCAUUGCAGCGCGUACUGGCGUGAUUGAGGCUGCUGAAAGCAGGCGGAAUUCGAGGUGUAGCGGUGAAAUGCGGAGAUAUGACGAAGAACACCGAUUGCGAAGGCAGCUUGCUGCAGCGGAACUGACGGUGAUGCGCGAAAGCGCGGGGAUCGAACAGGAUUAGAUACCCGGGUAGUC
rnacentral:rRNA from 1 species